rnacentral:rRNA from 1 species
AACGCGAAGAACCUUACCUACUCUUGACAUCCAGAGAACUUAGCAGAGAUGCUUUGGUGCCUUCGGGAACUCUGAGACAGGUGCCGCAUGGCUGUCGUCAGCUCGUGUUGUGAAAUGUUGGGUUAAGUCCCGCAACGAGCGCAACCCUUAUCCUUUGUUGCCAGCGGUCCGGCCGGGAACUCAAAGGAGACUGCCAGUGAUAAACUGGAGGAAGGUGGGGAUGACGUCAAGUCAUCAUGGCCCUUACGAGUAGGGCUACACACGUGCUACAAUGGCAUAUACAAAGAGAAGCGACCUCGCGAGAGCAAGCGGACCUCAUAAAGUAUGUCGUAGUCCGGAUUGGAGUCUGCAACUCGACUCCAUGAAGUCGGAAUCGCUAGUAAUCGUGGAUCAGAAUGCCACGGUGAAUACGUUCCCGGGUCUUGUACACACCG